GGGCCCUAGCUCAGCGGCAGAGAAUAUGCUUUGCAUGCAGAAGGUCCCAAGUUCAACCCCUGGCAUUCCCA